rnacentral:rRNA from 1 species
GAUGAACGCUGGCGGCGUGCCUAAUACAUGCAAGUCGAGCGAACGGACGAGAAGCUUGCUUUUCUGAUGUUAGCGGCGGACGGGUGAGUAACACGUGGAUAACCUACCUAUAAGACUGGGAUAACUUCGGGAAACCGGAGCUAAUACCGGAUGAUAUUUUGAACCGCAUGGUUCAAAAGUGAAAGACGGUCUUGCUGCCACUUAUAGAUGGAUCCGCGCUGCAUUAGCUAGUUGGUAAGGUAACGGCUUACCAAGGCAACGAUGCAUAGCCGACCUGAGAGGGUGAUCGGCCACACUGGAACUGAGACACGGUCCAGACUCCUACGGGAGGCAGCAGUAGGGAAUCUUCCGCAAUGGGCGAAAGCCUGACGGAGCAACGCCGCGUGAGUGAUGAAGGUCUUCGGAUCGUAAAACUCUGUUAUUAGGGAAGAACAUAUGUGUAAGUAACUGUGCACAUCUUGACGGUACCUAAUCAGAAAGCCACGGCUAACUACGUG